UGUCAAGGUGAUGUGCAGAGGGGUUACAGUUACAAACAUAAGUACCCAAAUAAGAAUAGGAGAGUGAGUAGUGACCCCUUGAGACUGUUGAAGUUAUUCAUUGUCCUCAGAAUCAUGUAUACAUCAAGCAGUGCAAGAAGGUGAACCAACAUUCCACAUCUAUUCACCAAAGAUUGUAGCUGUAAAAUCUGUCUACAAUUCUACAUGAUGUGAAAAAUGAAAGUAAUUAUGAUUACUAAUGAUGAUUUAAUUGUAUAGUUAAAUGUUUAUUUCUAAAUUUUUCAUGCAAAUAAGUUCAUAAUUAGGAAAACAAGUUACUUGGCCAGUUAAUCAGGUUUUGUUUUAGUCUUGUUGUUUGGGCUAAAAUGUACUCCAGGAUGUCAUCUGUGAUUUGGAAUAUUAAAAAAAAUGCUUAAGGGUGAGCCUUUAGAAAGCAAUGUCCCUACAUUGCCAAGCAUGGAGUGGGAUGUGUUUGAUGGAAAGAAAAGCUUGGAAAACCUGAAACAUGAGAAGAAAUCAGAAUGAGAGACGA